UUCCCAUUUUUAAAUGCAGGAGCACUACGGCUUCCUGCUGGGCCUGCAGGACGUGCUGCUGCGGGAGCUACGGCACGGCGCCCGUCUGUGCGACGUCUACGCCGCCGUGAUGGACGUGGUCAAGAAGCAGCGGCCGGAGCUGCUGGGCAAGGUCACCAAGAAUUUGGGGUUCGCCAUGGGCAUCGAGUUCCGCGAGGGCUCCCUGGUCAUCAACAGCAAGAACCAGCAGCGCCUCAAGAAGGG